AGAAAUUGCUCCAGUCAGCUUAUUACCUGUACCAGAUGAACAGUGUGACUGUAAAGAUAUUUGGGUAGAAAUCAACAAAAUAAAAGAGUCUCAUUCCAAGGACAUAGAGCUGUUGAAACUAAAUAUUCAGGCCUUAG
rnacentral:sRNA from 1 species